UCUUCAGUUGAUUUUGGAUUGUGGAUGUAC
rnacentral:piRNA from 1 species